rnacentral:pre_miRNA from 1 species
UGGACAUAUUAUUGUAUUCGACUGUAUUCACGGCAUGAAAUAGGGGAUUACACUGUUUUUAAAAUGGAAAGUGAAUCAAUUAACAUAAUAGACUCCU